rnacentral:rRNA from 1 species
CCUACGUGGGGCUGCAGUGGGGAAUAUUGCACAAUGGGGGAAACCCUGAUGCAGCGACGCCGCGUGAGUGAUGAAGUAUUUCGGUAUGUAAAGCUCUAUCAGCAGGGAAGAUAAUGCCGGUACCUGACUCAGAAGCUCCGGCUAAAUACGUGCCAGCAGCCGCGGUAAUACGUAUGGAGCAAGCGUUAUCCGGAUUUACUGGGUGUAAAGGGAGCGCAGACGGCAGGGCAAGUCUGAUGUGAAAGUCCGGGGCUCAACCCCGGGACGGCAUUGGAAACUGUCCGGCUAGAGUGCAGGAGAGGUAAGUGGAAUUCCUAGUGUAGCGGUGAAAUGCGUAGAUAUUAGGAGGAACACCAGUGGCGAAGGCGGCUUACUGGACUGUAACUGACGUUGAGGCUCGAAAGCGUGGGGAGCAAACAGGAUUAGAUACCCGGGUAGUC